GUGAGACAGGUGCUGCAUGGCUGUCGUCAGCUCGUGUUGUGAAAUGUUGGGUUAAGUCCCGCAACGAGCGCAACCCUUAUCCUUUGUUGCCAGCGGUCCGGCCGGGAACUCAAAGGAGACUGCCAGUGAUAAACUGGAGGAAGGUGGGGAUGACGUCAAGUCAUCAUGGCCCUUACGACCAGGGCUACACACGUGCUACAAUGGCGCAUACAAAGAGAAGCGACCUCGCGAGAGCAAGCGGACCUCAUAAAGUGCGUCGUAGUCCGGAUUGGAGUCUGCAACUCGACUCCAUGAAGUCGGAAUCGCUAGUAAUCGUGGAUCAGAAUGCCACGGUGAAUACGUUCCCGGGCCUUGUACACACCGCCCGUCACACCAUGGGAGUGGGUUGCAAAAGAAGUAGG
rnacentral:rRNA from 1 species